GACGAACGCUGGCGGCGUGCUUAACACAUGCGAGUCGAACGGAAAGGCCCUGCUCUUGUGGGGUGCUCGAUUGGCGAACGGGUGAGUAACACGUGAGUAACCUGCCCUUGACUUUGGGGUAACUUCAGGAAACUGGGGCUAAUACCGGAUAGGAGCUCCUGCUGCAUGGUGGGGGUUGGAAAGUUUCUGCGGUUGGGGAUGGACUCGCGGCUUUUCAGCUUGUUGGUGGGGUAGUUGUUUACCAAUGCUUUGACGGGUAGCCCGCCUGAGAGGGUGACCGGCCUCAUUGCGACUUAGGUAAGACCCAGAGUCCUACGGGCGGCAACAGUGGAGAAUAUUGCACACUGGGCGGAAGCCUGAUGCAGCAACGCCGCGUGCGGGAUAACGGCCUUCGGAUAGUAAACCGCUUUCGCCUGUGACCAAGCCUGAGUGACGGUAAUGGGUAAAGCAGCACCGGCUAACUACGUG
rnacentral:rRNA from 1 species